rnacentral:rRNA from 2 species
UGAGGAAUUUUCCGCAAUGGGCGAAAGCCUGACGGAGCAAUACCGCGUGGAGGAGGAAGGCCCGUGGGUCGUAAACUCCUUUUCUCAGAGAAGAACACAAUGACGGUAUCUGAGGAAUAAGCAUCGGCUAACUCCGUGCCAGCAGCCGCGGUAAUACGGAGGAUGCAAGCGUUAUCCGGACUGAUUGGGUGUAAAGCAUCUGUAGGCGGUUUUGGAAGUCUACGGUUAAAUCCCAGAGCUUAACUUUGGUUCAGCCGUAGAGUACUUCAAAGCUUGAGUAUGGUAGGGGUAGAGGGAACUUCUCGUGGAGCGGUGAAAUGCACAGAGAUGAGAAGGAACACCAGUGGCGAAAGCGCUCUACUGGGCCAUGACUGACGCUGAGAGAUGACAGCUGAGGGAGCGAAUAGG